GACCAGAGCCUUUACAAAAUGUUUCUUGUCACUGUGGCAGGAGGCCUUCAGGCCAGGCUGCAAGACUUAGUGUCCUGCAGCUGUUCUAAGCCUUCCCUAUUGUAGCUUUCUUCAAGGCACAGCUGCAGCCCUCGCUGCCCUGCAGCUUUCCCAAGGCCUCUGUCCUGCCACUUGCCCUUAAUCCCGACAUAGACAUGGCAGAGAGACCUCCCACCCCACCCAAGAAGGUGGAGAAUUGCCCUUGUGGUGCUGCACUCCAGCGACGUGCUGACUUGGAGCAGCUGCAGCUGCUGCAGAAGAGUGAGUGAAAGAGCUGGGCCACAGGGCUGGCCUGGGCCACAGGGCUGGCCUGCAGCCAGCUCCACCCUGCCCCAUCCCGUCCCUUCCCUGCGGACAUGCCCAUGGAUAGGGCAGAAGAGGGGCUGGGGCUGGACCCCCUGGUAGCCUGGGGCAUCCUGGGGCUGUCCCUGCCAGGGGAGACUGCAGGGCUGGGCUGUGCUCUCUGGCCUCUCCUGCAGCUCUUCAGCUCUGGCAUUCCUUGCUCUUUGCCAGAUGCAGCCAAGGACCCGGCACAAGGGCUGGAUCCUGCCCGUAGCUGCUGGCACUCUGUAAGCCAGGUACUGAGAGCCAUCCCCUCCUUCUGAGCCGAGCAUCAGCACUGCAGCACUGCAUGGAUCAGGCCUCUCUUCCCUGUUCCUUCUUUUGCAGAAGCUCACAAACUUCACUUGGUGUCGAGAGAUGAUCAGCAUGUUCACCAAGGGUGCAGCAGAGGCUGGCCCCACAGCCCCUCAGAGCAUACCUCCUGCUCCCAGCCUGGAUCAGUUUGGGGAGAGAGUUGUCUCCACUCCCAGUCAAGUGCCAGGCUUUGUUAGGAACAUGCACCAGAGGCUGGCGUCCAACGAGCCUCCAGACGACUGGCUGUUCAUGGACAUCCUGCGGCUGACCGAGGAACAGCCCACUGAUGUGGCAGUGACCCUGCUGCGGUGUGCCCCAACAUGUGACAGAGCUGCUGCAAUCAUGUGGAAGACCAUCGCCUCGUCAGGAACGUCAACGGAAAAGGUGCUGCCCACACUGCUGUGUGUGAUGGACGGCUGGCCCAUGCAGAAAAUGUACACAGCUGAUGGGGACAACAAGGAUGUCUUUGCCCUGGCUGCAACCAGGGUGAUUUGGGAGAUUCUCCGCCUGCCCUGGUGCCCAGAGCCAUUUGUGGAAUAUUCCCCCCAUCUCCUUGUGGCUCUGCUGUACCAAGUUUACGCCAGUACAGAGCAGAUGUCAGAAGAAGUAAAUACUUUCUGGAAGAAAUGUCAGGAGGAAAAGGGCAUUACUGCCAACCCCAACAGCUUUGUAGUGAGCACUGUGAAGUCGUUCCUGUACCACCUGCAAUGUGUGAAUUUACUGAUGGCUCUGGAACGGAAGUGUGCCUGGGACACGCUGCUGCGUGCUGAAACCCACCACUAUGCAAUGGGUCUGCUGGCCAGGGAGAUGCGCCGUGUCUGCCAACCUUUCUGCUCCUGCGUCGCACUCCGCCUGCUCUGCCGGCUCAGCCAGGAGGAGCCAAGCUGGGAAAUGGCCUCCCUGGCGUUCCUGGUGGAGGUCCUGGAUUGCCUGGAUUUGAAUGAAUGGGGUAACAACAUCCUGGAGAUCUUGACCAAGCACCUGCUGAGCGAGUCCAUGGAGAUGCGACGCCUGGCCCUCAGAGGCCUCGUGAUGCUCAGCAAAGACCCCUCAAUGGUGAGAAGGAGGCAGCAGCUGAAGCUGUGCUGGCAGCGUGGGGCUGGGGCAAGCAGCCCCUUGGGCUUGGCUGGGCUUUGGCAGCUGUGGCAGCUGUUCCCAGCUCUCCAGGGUUGCUGUUCAGCUGCCUGCUUUGGGACAGCCAUUGGCCUCUAUAGACUCCAUGGCAGGCGGGUGGGGUUGCGCUGCUGGAGCAGCGCUGGUGGUGAAGCUUUUAAUGGAUUCACAGCACAGCCUUGUGUUCCACAUAGGCCAAAAAAAUGUGCAGCCUGUCUGAACCCCUCAUGGAUUUCCUGAGGAAUGAAGACAUAGAGGUGGUCAAGAUGAGUCUGUCUGUGUUCACAAAUAUACUCGUGAACAAGGAUAUCCUAACAUCCUGCCCCACAGCCCCCAAACUGGCUGCCGCGCUCCGGCCCCUCUUUGACAGUGUAAGGCUCUGUGCCCCCAGCCAUGGCCCCUAGCUGCUGCCCACAAGGGGGGUGCCCUGUGGCCUGUUGGGCCUGUGCACAGGGGGGCCUGGAGAAUCCAGUGCUGAGCUUUUUCCUUUCCAACAGGACAACAAUCAAGUGCAGUGGCUCUCCAUUGGCCUCUACAAAGAUGUGAUGGAAUCAGUAGUGGAAAGGGGAAAACCGGCCCUGAAGCCUCUUGUGAGCGAGAGCCUGCUUCCUCUCUUCUUCCAUUGCUACGACGAGAACCGGCGUGUGGCACAGGUGAGGCCUCCUGCGUGUCCCCUUGGGAGGGGCUCAGCUGUCUGCCCAGCCCCUGGCACCUGACGGGCUCCAGCCUCCCCCCAGCCCCGGCACAGAGAUGCGGCUCCUGUGCCCUGGGCCGCGGUGCCAUCUCUGGCUCUCUGCUGCCCUGCAGACCUCUCGGGAAACGCUGCUCUCUGCAGUAAAGUUCCUGAAGAGAAGGGAUCUCAGACAGCUGCUCAAGUUGGAUGACCCGUGGAGCUUCGCCGAGCACGUGGUAAGGACAGGCUG
ensembl:lncRNA